rnacentral:rRNA from 1 species
AGCAGUAGCCACGGUAAUACGAAGGGUGCAAGCGUUAAUCGGAAUUACUGGGCGUAAAGCGUGCGUAGGCGGUGAGUUAAGUCUGCUGUGAAAUCCCCGGGCUCAACCUGGGAAUGGCAGUGGAUACUGGCAAGCUAGAGUGUGUCAGAGGAUGGUGGAAUUCCCGGUGUAGCAGUGAAAUGCGUAGAGAUCGGAAGGAACAUCUGUGGCGAAGGCGACUAUCUGGGCCAACACUGACACUGAGGCACGAAAGCGUGGGGAGCAAACAGGAUUAGAUACCCGUGUAGUCCCUGUCUCUUAUAA